rnacentral:rRNA from 1 species
GACGAACGCUGGCGGCGUGCUUAACACAUGCAAGUCGAACGGAAAGGCCCUGCUUUUGUUGGGUGCUCGAGUGGCGAACGGGUGAGUAACACGUGAGUAACCUGCCCUUGACUGUGGGAUAACGUCAGGAAACUGGGGUUAAUACCGGGUAGGAGCUCCUGCUGCAUGGUGGGGGUUGGCAAGUUUGGGCGGUUGGGGAUGGACUCGCGGCUUAUCAGCUUGUUGGUGGGGUAGUGGCUUACGAAGGCUUUGACGGGUAGCCGGCCUGAGAGGGUGACCGGCCAAAUUGGGACUGAGAUACGGCCCAGACUCCUACGGGAGGAAGAAGUGGGGAGUAUUGAACAAUGGGCGGAGGCCUGAUGCAGCAACGCCGCGUGCGGGAUGCCGGCCUUCGGGUUGUAAACGGCUUUCGCAUGUGACGAAGCGUGAGUGACGGUAAUGGGUAAAGAAGCACCGGCUAACUACGUG